rnacentral:rRNA from 1 species
GACGAACGCUGGCGGCGUGCUUAACACAUGCAAGUCGAACGGAAAGGCCCUGCUUUUGUGGGGUGCUCGAGUGGCGAACGGGUGAGUAACACGUGAGUAACCUGCCCUUGACUUUGGGAUAACUUCAGGAAACUGGGGCUAAUACCGGAUAGGAGCUCCCGCUGCAUGGUGGGGGUUGGAAAGUUUCGGCGGUUGGGGAUGGACUCGCGGCUUAUCAGCUUGUUGGUGGGGUAGUGGCUUACCAAGGCAGUGACGGGUAGCCGGCCCGAGAGGGUAAACGGCCACAAUGGGACUACGAGACGGCCCAGUCUCCUACGGGAGGCAGCAGUGGCGAGUAUUACACAGUGAGCGCGAGCCUGUUGCAGCGGCGUCGCGUUCGGGAUGACGGCCUUCGGGUUGUAAACCGCUUUCGCCUGUGACGAAGCUGGUGUGACGGUAAUGGGUGAAGAAGCACCGGCUAACUACGUG